rnacentral:rRNA from 1 species
CAUGUAGGUUGUAGAUUAAGUCAGUUUUUAAAUGUCACGGCUUAACCGUGGACUGGAAUUGAAACUGGUCUACUUGAGUAUGAGAGGGGACAGAGGAAUACCUAGUGUAGCGGUGGAAUGCGUAGAUAUUAGGUAGAACACCUGAGGCGAAGGCGUCUGUCUGGCUCAUAACUGACACUGAACUGCGAAAGCAUGGGUAGCGAACA